GACGAACGCUGGCGGCGUGCUUAACACAUGCAAGUCGAACGGAAAGGCCCUGCUUUUGUGGGGUGCUCGAGUGGCGAACGGGUGAGUAACACGUGAGUAACCUGCCCUUGACUUUGGGAUAACUUCAGGAAACUGGGGCUAAUACCGGAUAGGAGCUCCUGCUGCAUGGUGGGGGUUGGAAAGUUUCGGCGGUUGGGGAUGGACUCGCGGCUUAUCAGCUUGUUGGUGGGGUAGUGGCUUACCAAGGCUUUGACGGGUAGCCGGCCUGAGAGGGUGACCGGCCCCAAUGGGACUGGGAGACGGCCCGAGCCCCUACGGGGAGCAGAAGGGGGGAAUAAUGAACAAUGGGGGGAAGCCGGAGCCCGCAACCCCCCGGGCGGGAUAACGGCCUUCGGGUUUGAAACCUCUUUCGCCUGUUACGAAGGGGGGGGUACGGUAAUGGGUAAAAAAGAGCGGGCUAACUAGGGG
rnacentral:rRNA from 1 species